rnacentral:rRNA from 1 species
CGGGCACCUUCGGGUGUCAGUGGCAGACGGGUGAGUAACACGUGGGAACGUGCCCUUUGGUUCGGAACAACUCCGGGAAACUGGAGCUAAUACCGGAUAAGCCCUUCGGGGGAAAGAUUUAUCGCCAAAGGAUCGGCCCGCGUCUGAUUAGCUAGUUGGUGAGGUAAUGGCUCACCAUGGCGACGAUCAGUAGCUGGUCUGAGAGGAUGAUCAGCCACACUGGGACUGAGACACGGCCCAGACUCCUACGGGAGGCAACAGUGGGGAAUAUUGGACAAUGGGCGAAAGCCUGAUCCAGCCAUGCCGCGUGAGUGAUGAAGGCCCUAGGGUUGUAAAGCUCUUUCGGCGGGGACGAUAAUGACSGUACCCGCAGAAGAAGCCCCGGCUAACUUCGUGCCAGCAGCCGCGGUAAUACGAAGGGGGCAAGCGUUGCUCGGAAUCACUGGGCGUAAAGGGCGCGUAGGCGGAUCUUUAAGUCAGGGGUGAAAGCCCAAGGCUCAACCUUGGAAUUGCCUUUGAUACUGAGGAUCUCGAGACCGGAAGAGGUAAGUGGAACUGCGAGUGUAGAGGUGAAAUUCGUAGAUAUUCGCAAGAACACCAGUGGCGAAGGCGGCUUACUGGUCCGGUUCUGACGCUGA